UUCGCAAUGCCCGAAAGGGUGACGAUGCGACGCCGCGUGAGCGAAGAAGGUCCUAGGGUUGUAAAGCUCUGUCGAGGGUUAUGAAAUAUAGAUGGGUUAAUACCCCAUUUAUUUGACAAAAGCCCAAAAGGAAGCCACAGCUAACUCUGUGCCAGCAGCCGCGGUAAUACAGAGGUGGCGAGCGUUGUUCGGUAUUAUUGGGCGUAAAGAGCACGUAGGUGGUUUUGUAAGUCAGGUGUGAAAGCCUUCUGUUCAAAGGAAGAACGGCAUCUGAAACUGCAGAUCUUGAGUGUAGGAGGGGAGAGUGGAACUUCUGGUGGAGCGGUGAAAUGCGUAGAUAUCAGAAGGAACGUCGGCGGCGAAAGCGACUCUCUGGCCUAUUACUGACACUGAGGUGCGAAAGUUAGGGGAGCAAACGGGAUUAGAUACCCCGGUAGUCCUAACCGUAAACGAUGGGCACUAAGUAGAGGGGUUUU
rnacentral:rRNA from 1 species